rnacentral:rRNA from 1 species
GAUGAACGCUAGCGGGAGGCCUAACACAUGCAAGCCGAGCGGUAGAGUUUCUUCGGAAACUUGAGAGCGGCGCACGGGUGCGUAACACGUGUGCAACCUACCUUUAUCUGGGGGAUAGCCUUUCGAAAGGAAGAUUAAUACCCCAUAAUAUAAUGAUUGGCAUCAAUUAUUAUUGAAAACUCCGGUGGAUAGAGGUGGGCACGCGCAAGAUUAGAUAGUUGGUGAGGUAACGGCUCACCAAGUCAAUGAUCUUUAGGGGUCCUGAGAGGGAGAUCCCCCACACUGGUACUGAGACACGGACCAGACUCCUACGGGAGGCAGCAGUGAGGAAUAUUGGACAAUGGGUGAGAGCCUGAUCCAGCCAUCCCGCGUGAAGGAUGACGGUCCUAUGGAUUGUAAACUUCUUUUGGACAGGGAUAAACCUACCCUCGUGAGGGUAGCUGAAGGUACUGUACGAAUAAGCACCGGCUAACUCCGUG